rnacentral:rRNA from 1 species
GUGUUCCACGCUGUCGGUUCGCCGCCCGUCGGUGUCAACUGGCAUGUCCUGUGGAACGUCCUGCCGGUGGCGGUCCGGGCUUUCGGCUUGCGUAAGGGCUCACGCCCGAAGCAGGUCGGACAGUACCGGCCGCCGGUCCAAUCCCGCCACGGUGCUCUUCACCGAGUGUCGAGGUGGGCCGGCACGUUUACUUUGAACAAAUUAGAGUGCUUAAAGCAGGCUGGUGUCCGCCUGAAUACUGUGUGCAUGGAAUAAUAGAAUAGGACCUCGGUUCUAUUUUGUUGGUUUUCGGAACCCGAGGUAAUGAUUAAUAGGGACAGGCGGGGGCAUUCGUAUUGCGACGUUAGAGGUGAAAUUCUUGGAUCGUCGCAAGACGAACCUAAGCGAAAGCAUUUGCCAAGUAUGUUCUCGUUAAUCAAGAACGAAAGUUAGAGGUUCGAAGGCGAUCAGAUACCGCCCUAGUUCUAACCAUAAACGAUGCCAGCCAGCGAUCCGCCGAAGUUCCUCCGAUGACUCGGCGGGCAGCUUCCGGGAAACCAAAGCUUUUGGGUUCCGGGGGAAGUAUGGUUGCAAAGCUGAAACUUAAAGGAAUUGACGGAAGGGCACCACCAGGAGUGGAGCCUGCGGCUUAAUUUGACUCAACACGGGAAACCUCACCAGGCCCGGACACCGGAAGGAUUGACAGAUUGAGAGCUCUUUCUUGAUUCGGUGGGUGGUGGUGCAUGGCCGUUCUUAGUUGGUGGAGCGAUUUGUCUGGUUAAUUCCGAUAACGAACGAGACUCUAGCCUGCUAACUAGGCGAUUCCGGUACCCACAAUAGUGUUACCGGCGAUUCAAUUUCUUCUUAGAGGGACAGGCGGCUCCUAGCCGCACGAGACUGAGCAAUAACAGGUCUGUGAUGCCCUUAGAUGUCCUGGGCCGCACGCGCGCUACACUGAAGGAAUCAGCGUGUCUUCCCUGGCCGACAGGCCCGGGUAACCCGUUGAACCUCCUUCGUGCUAGGGAUUGGGGCUUGCAAUUGUUCCCCAUGAACGAGGAAUUCCCAGUAAGCGCGAGUCAUAAGCUCGCGUUGAUUACGUCCCUGCCCUUUGUACACACCGCCCGUCGCUACUACCGAUUGAAUGAUUUAGUGAGGUCUUCGGACUGGUGCGCGGCGAUCGGUUUAUACUGCCGGCCGCCGAUGUUGCCGGAAAGAUGACCAAACUUGAUCAUUUAGAGGAAGUAAAAGU